UACAGAGGUCUCAAGCGUUGUUCGGAUUCAUUGGGCGUAAAGGGCGCGUAGGCGGUCAGCACAAGUCAGUUGUGAAAUCUCCGGGCGUUAACUCGGAAAGGUCAACUGAUACUGUGCGACUAGAGUGCAGAAGGGGCAACUGGAAUUCUCGGUGUAGCGUGAAAUGCGUAGAUAUCUGGAGGAAUACCGGUGGCGAAGGCGGCAUCCUGGACCGACAUUGACGCUGAUGAGCGAAAGCUAGGGGAGCAAACGGG
rnacentral:rRNA from 1 species